rnacentral:rRNA from 1 species
GAUGAACGCUAGCGGCAGGCCUAGUACAUGCAAGUCGAACGGGAUUAAGAGGCUUGCUUCUUAUGAGAGUGGCGCACGGGUGCGUAACACGUAUGCAAUCUACCUUCAACUGGGGGAUAGCCUUCCGAAAGGGAGAUUAAUACCGCAUAAUAUAAUUGAGUGGCAUCACUUGAUUAUCAAACGUCAGGGUUGAAGAUGGGCAUGCGUCCGAUUAGUUUGUUGGUGAGGUAACGGCUCACCAAGACUACGAUCGGUAGGGGAUCUGAGAGGAUGGCCCCCCACACUGGUACUGAGAAACGGACCAGACUCCUACGGGAGGCAGCAGUAAGGAAUAUUGGUCAAUGGACGGAAGUCUGAACCAGCCAUGCCGCGUGCAGGAAGACGGUCCUCUGGAUUGUAAACUGCUUUUGUUAGGGAAGAAACUUCCGUACGUGUACGGGACUGACGGUACCUAAAGAAUAAGGAUCGGCUAACUCCGUGCCAGCCGCCGCCGUAAUAC